rnacentral:rRNA from 1 species
GUUGUAUGGUUAAGUGACUAAGCGUACAUGGUGGAUGCCUUGGCAGUCAGAGGCGAUGAAGGACGUACUAACCUGCGAUAAGCCGUGAGCAGUCGGUAAGAGACAUUACGACUCACGGAUUUCCGAAUGGGGAAACCCACUUAGCAUAAGCUAGGUAUCGCUACGUGAAUACAUAGCGUAGCGAGGCGAACCGGGAGAACUGAAACAUCUAAGUACCCCGAGGAAAAGAAAUCAACCGAGAUUCCCUCAGUAGCGGCGAGCGAACGGGGAUUAGCCCUUAAGCAUCUUGGAAGUUAGUGGAACGGUCCUGGAAAGGCCGGCGAUACAGGGUGAUAGCCCCGUACACGAAAACAACCUUGAUGUGAAAUCGAGUAGGGCGGGACACGUGACAUCCUGUCUGAAUAUGGGGGGACCAUCCUCCAAGGCUAAAUACUCCUGACUGACCGAUAGUGAACCAGUACCGUGAGGGAAAGGCGAAAAGAACCCCUGUGAGGGGAGUGAAAUAGAACCUGAAACCGUGUACGUACAAGCAGUGGGAGCCCUUCGGGGUGACUGCGUACCUUUUGUAUAAUGGGUCAGCGACUUACAUUUUGUAGCGAGGUUAACCGUAUAGGGGAGCCGUAGGGAAACCGAGUCUUAACUGGGCGUCUAGUUGCAAGGUGUAGACCCGAAACCGGGUGAUCUAGCCAUGGGCAGGUUGAAGGUUGAGUAACAUCAACUGGAGGACCGAACCCACUAACGUUGCAAAGUUAGGGGAUGACCUGUGGCUGGGGGUGAAAGGCCAAUCAAACUCGGAGAUAGCUGGUUCUCCCCGAAAGCUAUUUAGGUAGCGCCUCGGACGAAUACUACUGGGGGUAGAGCACUGUUUGGGCUAGGGGGUCAUCCCGACUUACCAACCCCAUGCAAACUCCGAAUACCAGUAAGUAAUAUCCGGGAGACACACGGCGGGUGCUAACGUCCGUCGUGAAGAGGGAAACAACCCAGACCGCCGGCUAAGGUCCCAAAGUUCUGGUUAAGUGGGAAACGAUGUGGGAAGGCUCAGACAGCUAGGAUGUUGGCUUAGAAGCAGCCAUCAUUUAAAGAAAGCGUAAUAGCUCACUAGUCGAGUCGGCCUGCGCGGAAGAUGUAACGGGGCUCAAACCAGGCACCGAAGCCGCGGAUUCACGCUAAGCGUGAGUGGUAGGGGAGCGUUCUGUAAGUCUGCGAAGGUGUGUCGAGAGGCAUGCUGGAGAUAUCAGAAGUGCGAAUGCUGACGUAAGUAACGAUAAAGGGGGUGAAAAGCCUCCUCGCCGGAAGACCAAGGGUUCCUGUCCAACGUUAAUCGGGGCAGGGUGAGUCGACCCCUAAGGCGAGGCCGAAAGGCGUAGUCGAUGGGAAGCAGGUUAAUAUUCCUGCACGACUUGUAAUUGCGAUGGGGGGACGGAGAAGGCUAGGUGGGCCAGGCGACGGUUGUCCUGGUGAAAGUGCGUAGGUGGUGUUUCUAGGCAAAUCCGGAGACACAACACUGAGACACGAGACGAACACACUACGGUGUGGAAGCCAUUGAUGCCCUGCUUCCAGGAAAAGCCUCUAAGCUUCAGAUUACAAGUCAUCGUACCCCAAACCGACACAGGUGGUCGGGUAGAGAAUACCAAGGCGCUUGAGAGAACUCGGGUGAAGGAACUAGGCAAAAUAGAACCGUAACUUCGGGAGAAGGUUCGCUCUUGACAGUGAAGUCCCUUGCGGAUGGAGCAGUUGGGAGUCGCAGUGACCAGAUGGCUGGGACUGUUUAUCAAAACACAGCACUCUGCAAACACGAAAGUGGACGUAUAGGGUGUGACACCUGCCCGGUGCCGGAAGGUUAAUUGAUGGGGUUAGCGCAAGCGAAGCUCUUGAUCGAAGCCCCGGUAAACGGCGGCCGUAACUAUAACGGUCCUAAGGUAGCGAAAUUCCUUGUCGGGUAAGUUCCGACCUGCACGAAUGGUGUAACCAUGGCCAUGCUGUCUCCACCCGAGACUCAGUGAAAUCGAAUUCGCCGUGAAGAUGCGGUGUACCCGCGGCUAGACGGAAAGACCCCGUGAACCUUUACUACAGCUUGGCACUGAACAUUGAACCUACAUGUGUAGGAUAGGUGGGAGGCUUUGAAGGCGUGACGCCAGUUGCGCUGGAGCCGUCCUUGAAAUACCACCCUUGUAUGUUUGAUGUUCUAACGCAGGCCCAUGAAUCUGGGUCGCGGACAGUGCCUGGUGGGUAGUUUGACUGGGGCGGUCUCCUCCCAAAGAGUAACGGAGGAGCACGAAGGUUGGCUAAUCCUGGUCGGACAUCAGGAGGUUAGUGCAAUGGCAUAAGCCAGCUUAACUGCGAGACGGACAGGUCGAGCAGGUACGAAAGUAGGUCAUAGUGAUCCGGUGGUUCUGAAUGGAAGGGCCAUCGCUCAACGGAUAAAAGGUACUCCGGGGAUAACAGGCUGAUACCGCCCAAGAGUUCAUAUCGACGGCGGUGUUUGGCACCUCGAUGUCGGCUCAUCACAUCCUGGGGCUGAAGUCGGUCCCAAGGGUAUGGCUGUUCGCCAUUUAAAGUGGUACGCGAGCUGGGUUCAGAACGUCGUGAGACAGUUCGGUCCCUAUCUGCCGUGGGCGUUGGAUGAUUGAAGGGAGUUGCUCCUAGUACGAGAGGACCGGAGUGAACGAACCUCUGGUGUUCGGGUUGUCACGCCAGUGGCACUGCCCGGUAGCUAAGUUCGGAAUCGAUAACCGCUGAAAGCAUCUAAGCGGGAAGCGAGCCCUGAGAUGAGUCAUCCCUGACCCCUUGAGGGUCCUAAAGGGCCGUUGGAGACCACAACGUUGAUAGGUGGGGUGUGUAAGCGCGGCGACGUGUUGAGCUAACCCAUACUAAUUACCCGUGAGGCUUAACCAUACAACACCCAAGAAGUGUUCU